rnacentral:rRNA from 1 species
AUUGAACGCUGGCGGCAGGCCUAACACAUGCAAGUCGAACGAGUGGCGGACGGGUGAGUAAUGUCUGGGAAACUGCCCGAUGGAGGGGGAUAACUACUGGAACCGGUAGCUAAUACCGCAUACCAUCGGAUGUUCCCAGAUGGGAUUAGCUAGUAGGUGGGGUAAAGGCGCACCUAGGCGACGAUCCCUAGCUGGUCUGAGAGGAUGACCAGCCACACUGGGACUGAGACACGGCCCAGACUCCUACGGGAGGCAGCAGUGGGGAAUAUUGCACAAUGGGCGCAAGCCUGAUACAGCCAUGCCGCGUGUAUGAAGAAGGCCUUCGGGUUGUAAAGUACUUUCAGCGGGGAGGCGUUACCCGCAGAAGAAGCACCGGCUAACUCCGUGCCAGCAGCCGCGGUAAUUC